CGGGUUUUAAUUAACUUGGUAACGCAGCUAACGCGUGAAGUAGACCGCCUGGGGAGUACGGUCGCAAGAUUAAAACUCAAAGGAAUUGACGGGGACCCGCACAAGCGGUGGAUGAUGUGGAUUAAUUCGAUGCAACGCGAAAAACCUUACCUACCCUUGACAUGUACGGAAGGCCGAAGAGAUUUGGCUGUGCUCGAAAGAGAACCGUAACACAGGUGCUGCAUGGCUGUCGUCAGCUCGUGUCGUGAGAUGUUGGGUUAAGUCCCGCAACGAGCGCAACCCUUGUCAUUAGUUGCUACGAAAGGGCACUCUAAUGAGACUGCCGGUGACAAACCGGAGGAAGGUGGGGAUGACGUCAAGUCCUCAUGGCCCUUAUGGGUAGGGCUUCACACGUCAUACAAUGGUACAUACAGAGCGCCGCCAACCCGCGAGGGGGAGCUAAUCGCAGAAAGUGUAUCGUAGUCCGGAUUGUAGUCUGCAACUCGACUACAUGAAGUUGGAAUCGCUAGUAAUCGCGGAUCAGCAUGUCGCGGUGAAUACGUUCCCGGGUCUUGUACACACCGCCCGUCACACCAUGGGAGCGGGUUUUACCAGAAGUAGGUAGCUUAACCGCAAGGAGGGCGCUUACCACGGUAGGAUUCGUGACUGGGGUGAAGUCGUAACAAGGUAGCCGUAUCGGAAGGUGC
rnacentral:rRNA from 1 species